AACAAAUGCCCUGCUUCCAGGAAAAGCCUCUAAGCCUCAGGUAACAUCAAAUCGUACCCCAAACCGACACAGGUGGUCAGGUAGAGAAUACCAAGGCGCUUGAGAGAACUCGGGUGAAGGAACUAGGCAAAAUGGUGCCGUAACUUCGGGAGAAGGCACGCUGACACGUAGGUGAAGUGGUUUACCCAUGGAGCUGAAGUCAGUCGAAGAUACCAGCUGGCUGCAACUGUUUAUUAAAAACACAGCACUGUGCAAACACGAAAGUGGACGUAUACGGUGUGACGCCUGCCCGGUGCCGGAAGGUUAAUUGAUGGGGUCAGCGCAAGCGAAGCUCCUGAUCGAAGCCCCGGUAAACGGCGGCCGUAACUAUAACGGUCCUAAGGUAGCGAAAUUCCUUGUCGGGUAAGUUCCGACCUGCACGAAUGGCGUAAUGAUGGCCAGGCUGUCUCCACCCGGGACUCAGUGAAAUUGAACUCGCUGUGAAGAUGCAGUGUACCCGCGGCAAGACGGAAAGACCCCGUGAACCUUUACUAUAGCUUGACACUGAACACUGGUCCUUGAUGUGCAGGAUAGGUGGGAGGCUUUGAAGUGUGGACGCCAGUCUGCAUGGAGCCAUCCUUGAAAUACCACCCUUUAAUGGCUGGUGUUCUAACGUGGGCCCGUGAACCGGGUUGCGGACAGUGUCUGGUGGGUAGUUUGACUGGGGCGGUCUCCUCCUAAAGAGUAACGGAGGAGCACGAAGGUUGGCUAAUCCUGGUCGGACAUCAGGAGGUUAGUGCAAUGGCAUAAGCCAGCUUGACUGCGAGCGUGACGGCGCGAGCAGGUGCGAAAGCAGGUCAUAGUGAUCCGGUGGUUCUGAAUGGAAGGGCCAUCGCUCAACGGAUAAAAGGUACUCCGGGGAUAACAGGCUGAUACCGCCCAAGAGUUCAUAUCGACGGCGGUGUUUGGCACCUCGAUGUCGGCUCAUCACAUCCUGGGGCUGAAGUAGGUCCCAAGGGUAUGGCUGUUCGCCAUUUAAAGUGGUACGCGAGCUGGGUUUAGAACGUCGUGAGACAGUUCGGUCCCUAUCUGCCGUGGGCGCUGGAAGAUUGAGGGGGGCUGCUCCUAGUACGAGAGGACCGGAGUGGACGCAUCACUGGUGUUCGGGUUGUCAUGCCAAUGGCACUGCCCGGUAGCUACAUGCGGAAGAGAUAAGUGCUGAAAGCAUCUAAGCACGAAACUUGCCCCGAGAUGAAUCUUCCCUGAGCCUUUAAGGCUCCUGAAGGAACGUUGAAGACGACGACGUUGAUAGGCCGGGUGUGUAAGCGCAGCGAUGCGUUGAGCUAACCGGUACUAAUGAACCGUGAGGCUUAACCUUACA
rnacentral:rRNA from 1 species